AUAUGAUCUUAUCUCCGAGCCGGAAUAACCUAAGGAUUAAUUCUAUGGUUACCGGCCGGGGCUUUAAGCCCUCAGGGUGUACCUGGAAACGGGUAUGCCUUCCUUAUGAAAAGGAGGUGGUUAGCCAGUUAG
rnacentral:ncRNA from 2 species